GUUAACGACAGACACAGCGAACACAGCGUGAGCCCCAUAAGCACGCAGACGGACGGGGUGUUGGCGUCGUGCGUGGUGCAGUUCAGUUGCAAUUUAACCGUUACAAAGCGCAAAUCCAAAACAGAGCAAACCCAAAAAAAAGGAAGUAAACAAAAAAUAGAAAAUCUAAAAGUAAACUAAAGAAAGUGAGCACAGUGAGUUGGCAACGCUUCGAAUUUGCCUUUUAAAGUGGUGAAAAAAAAAUAGCAUAAAUAAAAGUAGCGCAAGACACGUGCUAACUGUUAAACGGGUAACGGUAAACGCGCAUUUGCCGGGCAGCAGACAACGCGAAAGCCGUAAAUUUCGUGUGAGAGACUAGCGUGGGGAAUGCAUUUAGCACGUGAAUUUCAAGCUCGCAAAUUGAGCCAACAACGCGACAACAACUACAACAACAACAAGGAGAACGUCGACAACGACGACAAGAUGAAACAUGUGUAAAUGCUAACGAGCGAGUAAAUGGAAAGUGGGAAAGGAGCUUGACAAGUGUAACGAAAUUUGAUUGAUUUUGAUUGACAUGGCACUCAGCAGCUGUGGCCACCCAGAAGUGAAAUUCGAGUGAAAACCAAACACAAAUUUAAAAGCGAGCAAACAACAAAACAAAACAAGAAACCGAAAAAAAAAAAAACAAGAAAACUCGAAACUGAGAAAAACUUCAAUUCAACAAGGGGGGAAGACCCAUGGAGAAUGAUAUAUAUAUGUAUAUAUAUAUAUUUACAGUAAUAAGUGCGAACAACAGAAACCAAUAAAAGUACAGCGCUCGCAUAAAGUCGCAAACGGAACCCAACGCCGAGUCUGAUUAAAGCGAUAAAGCUUUUACUUGCGAAGCACACAACAUUUAGAAGGUAAA
rnacentral:sRNA from 1 species